rnacentral:rRNA from 1 species
UCCAGAGGUGGCAAGCGUUGUUCGGAAUUACUGGGCGUAAAGGGCGCGUAGGCGGCCUUCUCAGUCAGACGUGAAAUCCCCAGGCUUAACUUGGGAACUGCGUCUGAUACUGGAAGGCUUGAGUGCGGGAGAGGCGCGUGGAAUUGCAGGUGUAGCGGUGAAAUGCGUAGAUAUCUGCAGGAACACCCGUGGCGAAAGCGGCGCGCUGGACCACUACUGACGCUGAGGAACGAAAGCUAGGGGAGCAAACAGG